rnacentral:rRNA from 1 species
GGAUGACGGCCUUCGGGUUGUAAACUCCUUUCGCUAGGGACGAAGCUUUUUGUGACGGUACCUAGAUAAAAAGCACCGGCUAACUACGUGCCAGCAGCCGCGGUAAUACGUAGGGUGCGAGCGUUGUCCGGAAUUACUGGGCGUAAAGGGCUCGUAGGUGGUUUGUCGCGUCGUCUGUGAAAUUCCGGGGCUUAACUCCGGGCGUGCAGGCGAUACGGGCAUAACUUGAGUACUGUAGGGGUAACUGGAAUUCCUGGUGUAGCGGUGAAAUGCGCAAAUAUCAGGAGGAACCCCGAUGGCGAAGGCAGGUUACUGGGCAGUUACUGACGCUGAGGAGCGAAAGCAUGGGUAGCGAACAGGAUUAGAUACCCUGGUAGUCCAUGCCGUAAACGGUGGGCGCUAGGUGUGAGGGUCUUUUCACGACUUUCGUGCCGUAGCUAACGCAUUAAGCGCCCCGCCUGGGGAGUACGGCCGCAAGGCUAAAACUCAAAGGAAUUGACGGAUAAUUUUU